AUUGAACGCUGGCGGCAGGCCUAACACAUGCAAGUCGAACGAGUGGCGGACGGGUGAGUAAUGUCUGGGAAACUGCCUGAUGGAGGGGGAUAACUACUGGAAACGGUAGCUAAUACCGCAUACCAUCGGAUGUGCCCAGAUGGGAUUAGCUAGUCGGUGGGGUAACGGCUCACCUAGGCGACGAUCCCUAGCGGGUCUGAGCGGAUGACCGGCCACACUGGGACUGAGACACGGUCCAGACUCCUACGGGAGGCAGCAGUGGGGAAUAUUGCACAAUGGGCGCAAGCCUGAUGCAGCAAUGCCGCGUGUAUGAAGAAGGCCUUCGGGUUGUAAAGUACUGUCAGAGGGGAGGCGUUACCCGCAGAGGAAGCACCGGCUAACUCCGUGCCAGCAGCCGCGGUAAUUC
rnacentral:rRNA from 1 species